GUAGGUGGCAAGCGUUGUCCGGAAUUAUUGGGCGUAAAGCGCGCGCAGGCGGUCCUUUAAGUCUGAUGUGAGAGCCCACGGCUCAACCGUGGAGGGUCAUUGGAAACUGGGGGACUUGAGUACAGAAGAGGAAAGCGGAAUUCCAAGUGUAGCGGUGAAAUGCGUAGAGAUUUGGAGGAACACCAGUGGCGAAGGCGGCUUUCUGGUCUGUAACUGACGCUGAGGCGCGAAAGCGUGGGGAGCAAACAGGGAUUAGAUACCCUGGUAGUCCACGCCGUAAACGAUGAGUGCUAAGUGUUAGGGGGUUUCCGCCCCCUUAGUGCUGCAGCUAACGCAUUAAGCACUCCGCCUGGGGAGUACGGCCGCAAGGCUG
rnacentral:rRNA from 1 species